UUGAGUUUGAUCGUGGCUCAGGAUAACGCUGUCGGCGUGCCUAAUACAUGCAAGUCGAGCGAACAGACGAGGAGCGUUGCUCCUCUGACGUUAGCGGCGACGGGUGAGUAACACGUGGAUAACCUACCUAUAAGACUGGGAUAACUUCGGGAAACCGGNAGCUAAUACCGGAUAAUAUAUUGAACCGCAUGGUUCAAUAGUGAAAGACGGUUUUGCUGUCACUUAUAGAUGGAUCCGCGCCGCAUUAGCUAGUUGGUAAGGUAACGGCUUACCAAGGCAACGAUGCGUAGCCGACCUGAAGGGUGAUCGGCCACACUGGAACUGAGACACGGUCCAGACUCCUACGGGAGGCAGCAGUAGGGAAUCUUCCGCAAUGGGCGAAAGCCUGACGGAGCAACGCCGCGUGAGUGAUGAAGGUCUUCGGAUCGUAAAACUCUGUUAUUAGGGAAGAACAAAUGUGUAAGUAACUAUGCCACCGUCUUGACGGUACCUAAUCAG
rnacentral:rRNA from 1 species